rnacentral:rRNA from 1 species
UACGAGUAUGAGAGUUUGAUCCAGUGCUCAGAUUGAACGCUGGCGGCAUGCUUUACACAUGCAAGUCGAACGGAGCGCGGGGCAACCUGGCGGCGAGUGGCGAACGGGUGAGUAAUAUAUCGGAACGUACCCAAGAGUGGGGGAUAACGUAGCGAAAGUUACGCUAAUACCGCAUACGAUCUACGGAUGAAAGUGGGGGACCGCAAGGCCUCACGCUCCUGGAGCGGCCGAUAUCUGAUUAGCUAGUUGGUGAGGUAAAGGCUCACCAAGGCGACGAUCAGUAGCUGGUCUGAGAGGACGACCAGCCACACUGGAACUGAGACACGGUCCAGACUCCUACGGGAGGCAGCAGUGGGGAAUUUUGGACAAUGGGCGCA